CCGCAUAAGCGCACAGCUUCGCAUGAAGCAGUGUGAAAAACUCCGGUGGUACAAGAUGGACCCGCGUCUGAUUAGCUGGUUGGUGAGGUAACGGCCCACCAAGGCGACGAUCAGUAGCCGGCCUGAGAGGGUGAACGGCCACAUUGGGACUGAGACACGGCCCAAACUCCUACGGGAGGCAGCAGUGGGGAAUAUUGCACAAUGGGGGAAACCCUGAUGCAGCAACGCCGCGUGAGUGAAGAAGUAUUUCGGUAUGUAAAGCUCUAUCAGCAGGAAAGAAAAUGACGGUACCUGACUAAGAAGCCCCGGCUAACUACGUGCCAGCAGCCGCGGUAAUACGUAGGGGGCAAGCGUUAUCCGGAUUUACUGGGUGUAAAGGGAGCGUAGACGGUUUUGCAAGUCUGAAGUGAAAGCCCGGGGCUUAACCCCGGGACUGCUUUGGAAACUGUAGGACUAGAGUGCAGGAGAGGUAAGUGGAAUUCCUAGUGUAGCGGUGAAAUGCGUAGAUAUUAGGAGGAACACCAGUGGCGAAGGCGGCUUACUGGACUGUAACUGACGUUGAGGCUCGAAAGCGUGGGGAGCAAACAGGAUUAGAUACCCUGGUAGUCCACGCCGU
rnacentral:rRNA from 1 species